rnacentral:lncRNA from 1 species
CCCAUCUUCACGUCUCCAGCAGACAUCCAUUGACCUGGGGUCCAGCAACCGCUCUGAUGCUGUUAACAGCAGCAUUUUCUCAUGAUCUGCAAGAGCUUGAAAAGCUGCUACAGCCGGGACUCCAGCCGUCAUGACUGACGUGGAGCACGCGUACCUCCCUCCUGCUCACGUUGCUGCAGCUCCUGUCUGCUGCUUAGCUCCUCUCACUGACUGGUGUUAUACUCUCAUUAGUCAAUUCAGUCUUCACAAGCCUGUCGAGCUGGUACCACAGCGACAGUGUUUACCAUGAGGGUUGAACUAAAAAUGGAACUCCUCUCAGGACAGGUGGUGGAACUGGCUCUUAGUUAAGUCCGAGUCUAACGCCAGAUGUUUUAGCCUGAUUUCGCCCCUCCCUCCCAUUAUAAGCCAUAAUGUGUGCUCUCAUAUAACCUUGCAGGAGUAAUCUACGUUUCUACGUUAACGAUGGCUGUAUAAGACUCACACCCUUAUGGUCUAACCUUCCAUGUUUCUCUCAUAGGAUGCCCUCUUUUAUUUGUAGGAUAAGUAUUAUGAAAUGUAGUAUAGAGUUUUUGUUUGUUUUCUUUUUUGAAAUAGGGUUUCUCUAUAGAGCCCUGGCUGUCCUGGAAUUUACUAUGUAGAGCAGGCUGGCCUCAAACUCACAGAGAUCCCCCUGCUUCUGCCUCUGAGUGCUGGAAUUAAAGGCGUGCGCCACCAAGCCCAGCUCAUCAGUAUGGGUUUUAAAGGACCAACCAGUUCUCAGAUUCUUCACUGAAAGCAUCCUUCUGACC